rnacentral:rRNA from 1 species
UACGUAGGGUGCAAGCGUUGUCCGGAAUUAUUGGGCGUAAAGAGCUCGUAGGCGGUCUGUCGCGUCGAAUGUGAAAACCCGGGGCUCAACCCCGGGCCUGCAUUCGAUACGGGCAGACUAGAGUUCGGUAGGGGAGUCUGGAAUUCCUGGUGUAGCGGUGAAAUGCGCAGAUAUCAGGAGGAACACCGGUGGCGAAGGCGGGACUCUGGGCAGAUACUGACGCUGAGGAGCGAAAGCGUGGGGAGCAAACAGG